CAGAUCAAGAGCAUCUCAUCCUCCGGCUGCUGAGUCAUCCUGCUCUGGCAGUUAUUUAAACAGAAGGCUCCAGGAGACAUACAAUCAACACUCCACUCAGACAAUGCCCAGACCUCCAGAAACCAUGUGUCAAGCUCGGAUUGCCUUAGACAGGUGCAAUUUAAGAACAGCUUUCAUCCUCUUUUCUCUCAUAUUGUCACACUAUGUGUUCUGACUUCUGGCUCCUUUCCUCACAAGAAGCUCACCCAGCUGGAACUCUUAUGGGACCUUGGCACCAGAGACCACAAAUUCCUCUUUGAAGUUUUCUAACAGCAACAAUGGUAUUUCUGACUUGGCUUUCUUGUAUUUCUCUCACGUUAACAAAAUUGGUUCAGCAUCUACCAUGGGCUACAUGCUGAGCUACAGAGUUUCGCUCUGUCGCCCAGGCUGGAGUGCAGUGGCGCGCGAUCUCGGUUCACUGCAAGCUCCACCUCCCGGGUUCACGCCAUUCUCCUGCCUCAGCCUCCUGAGUAGCUGGGACUACAGGCGCCCGCCACCACACCCAGGAAUCCAACUUGCUGUUUGCUAUCACAUGUGCUAUACAUGCUGUUGAUGAAACUGCUAAAGGGGCUGAAUGUGACUGACGUCUUUGGAAGGAUGAGACUUAGCGUGCCUGUACAGUUGUGUCCAAAUGCUGUCCUCAUCUCCCAAUGAAAAGCAUUGCCAGCAGCAUUCAGUACAUUCAGAACAGGAUAAUUUCACCCGCAGCUGAACUAGGGCCAUGCCUGGGACAGACAGAGAAUGGCCUUCCAGCAGACAUGCCAAGAAGCAAGCCAGGGUCAGUGAGUGAAGAGGAGGGCAGGCCCAUUUGAAGCAACACAGUUUAUGUAAGUGUGAUCUAACUGCUUUCACUGGAAAUGGGUCAGACUCCAGUUGAGAGAACCAGGGGCCUGAAUGACCCCAGCAAAAUCACUGUGGCAAUUCUUUCAAUCACCUCUGAGAAUAUGGCCCUGUGACGACAUAAUGACGUUUGGAUUAAUUCCAGUCGGCUGUGUUUUCCCCUCCUUUCUUGCCUCCCCGUAGUUGAUUUGCCAAAUUUUUUUUGUUUGCUUAAAUACGCGGAACUAAACAGGAUACAUUAUAUGACAGUCUGUGAUAAAUUUACCACUGGGAAUAGGGAAAAAGUAUGGGAUAAAGAAAUAGGUAUUUUUCGCCUCUCACAGCUGUGAUUCAGUUCUGACUCAAAAGGAAGUGUGCCACCUACUGAAUCACAGAAACCACUUCCUGUGGCUGUUUGGUUUAUUCUGGAGGAGCAUCAGGCCAAGUGCUGCCCUGCCCUGACCCUGACUGGCUCUUCAGAGCCAAGGCAUUCACAGCUUGAGGUGGUUUGGCCUCAGACUCUUGAGAACAUUGCAUAUUAAAUUACAAGUGUUUCGUUUCCUAGCAAGGAGUCUUUAGCAACAUGAAAACGAACGUGUGUUAUUUGCAAACCAAGUAUAUCAUUACUGAACCUGAAUAUCCUUACUUUUUCAUAAGGUACGUAUUCCGGAUGACCACUCUUAAGAUCUGAAUGUACACUGGUUCUGUUUUUCCUGAGGGGAACUUGGGCAGUCUGCAGGGUGGCAUUUACCAGCUGAGGGACUUCAAGAGCACCCUUUAAUCAGUGUGGCAGCACUCAACUUGUAUUCACUCACUCAGAGUAUUUUUGAGCAUGUACUUAUUGCCAUGUGCUGUGCUAGGUAGGGGUAGAGGGUACAGUGGUGAACAAGACCCCACAGCUCCUGACCUCAUGGCUCAUGUGUUCUACACCAUAAGGGAAUCAAGCUGUGUCUCCCGGGGCAGGGGCCUUCCUCUGUUCACCAUGCAGCCCCAGCAUCUAGCACCUGGCGUUGCAUAAAGGAGGCUCUAAAUCAAGCUUGUCCAACCCAAGGCCCACGGGCCACAUGUGGCCCAGGAUGGCUUUGAAUGCAGCCAAACACAAAUUUGUAAACUUUCUUAAAACAUUAUAAGAUUUGUGUGUAUGUGUUUUAGUCCAUCAGCUAUUGUUAGUGUUCAUGUAUUUUAUGUGUGGCCCAAGACAAUUCUUCUAUGUGGCCCAAGGAAACCAAAGAUUGAACACUCCUGCUCUAAAUACUUGUUUGUUGAAUAGAUACAUGAAAAGAAAGAAGGAGAGAAGGAAGAAAGGAGGGCGGAAGGAAAGGAAGAAGGGAGAGAAGAAGAGAAGAAAGAAGCAGAGAAAGGAAGAGAAAAGAAAUUACGGCCAGUGCGGUGGCUCACGCCUGUAAUCCUAGCACUUUGGGAGGCCUAAGCGGGCUGAUCACCUGAGGUCAGGAGUUCGUAAGCCAGCCUGGCCAACAUGGUGAAACCCUAUCUCUACUAAAAAUACAAAAAUCAGCAGGGCAUGGUGGUGCGUGCCUGUAAUCCCAGCUACCUGGGAGGCUGAGGUAGGAGAAUCGCUGGAACCCGAGAGGCGGAGGCUGCAGUGAGUUGAGAUCAUGUCACUGCACUCCAGGCUGGGCAACAGAGUGAGACUCUGUCUCAGAAAAAAAAAAAAAGAAAGAAAGAAAGAAAGAAAGUUACCAUUAGUUUUUUGUUGUAUUUGCAAGCAAAGACAAAAGCACCAAGGAACAAAACCCAUCAGAAGAUGUCAGAAGAUAAGGAUUUUUGUCCUGAUGCUACACUUACCAGCUGUCCCUCAGUGUUCUACUUCUUAAAAAAAGAGAGAUGGAUAAACAGAGGCAACCCGAGGAUAAAGGCCUUGCUCAGUGUCACACAUUUCAGUCACUAAAUAAGACACAAUGGAUGCCAGUAUUCUCAUCCCCUCACAAAUAAAGAGCCUUCAAGCUCUUGCAGUCAACAAGAACUUUUGGAAUGAUUUCACUGCCUGAAAAGGCAGAUACAUAGGUGACACCCACAAAUAGGAAGAAAAUCAACCUGAACCUGAGUGUGUGGGCUCACUGACUCUAAGCAGUAGAGACAGAAGAAAAAGUUUUAGCAAAGAAGGGUUCUGAAAGAAAAUAAAUAUAGCUCGUUAUCAAGUGCUGUUUUUACACAGUAAAACAUGGGCAAAAUUACUCUUCUUUAAGUAGUAAUUCUUAUCUCUUGAUUAAGUCACCUACUCAUUCAUUUAAUAAAUACAUACUGAUUGUUUUCUAUGUGUUGAGCACUCAUCUCUGUAUUGGAAAUAUAAUAAUGACCAAAGUUGACAAUAGUAAUAACAAUAAUAGCUAAUAUAGCAGGCACUAAUAAUUAUUUGUUGAGUAAUAUGUCAAAAUUCAGUGUGAACAGCAUUCUAUUUGGGGCUGCAUCCACUGACUAUAACACAGCUAAUCUAUCUGAAAUGUUCCAGCUUUGGGCCUCUCUAACAGAAGAAGCUGUUGUUGGGCCUGCCUCUAGUUGGCGAUGCAUCCACCAAUGAGAAUGAAUUUAUGAUCGACCACUCUUCCUGUAAAGGCCGCUGGAACUGACAGCAUUGUGAUUUUCUUUUACUGUUAGUUUUAAAUUACUAGAACCAACUCAAUUACUAGAACGAACUUUACUUCUUUGUUUCCUACUUAUCAAAACAGUAAAAACAACAAGUAAAAGAAAUGCCAUCUUAAUAUUGUUUUGAUGACAAAACAGUAUUCCUUUUAGUUGUGCUUCAAAUGGAAUAAGAUGCAAACAGGCUUGGUAUGGUGGCUCACCCCUGUAAUCCCAGCCCUUUGGGAGGCCAAGGUGGAAGGAUUGCUUGAGGCCAUGAGUUUGAGACCAGCCUGCGCAACAUAGCAAGACCGUGUCUCUACAAAAAAUAAAAAAUUAGCUGAGUGUAGUGGUGUGUGCUUGUGGUCCCAGCUACUUUUGAGGCUGAGGAGGGAGAAUCUCUUGAGCCCAGAAGGUCGAAGUUGCAGUGAGCCGUGAUCGUGCCAUUGCUCUCCAGCUUGGACAACAAAGCAAGACCCUAUGUCAAAAAAUAAAUAAAUAAAAGACAUAAACAUAUCUGAGAUUAACUUUCAGUGGUAAAUUUGUUCCAUAUAUGAUUUUUAAGGUUAAAUGCUUUGGAAGCUUUAAAAACCAUUUCAGCCCUUUUAAAUGCCAACUUACACUGAUGAUGCUCUCAGAUGUUAGGAAAUCUUUUGAGCAGAAAAUGGAAGUGGGGGUGUUGAGGCAGGGAGGAGAGUGAUGCAAUAUUCCUUAGUGUCAUCCUGUGAUUUCACAAUUUGUUUUUCAAUCUGUUUGGACUUUCAAAAGGGAAGACUCUCAUAUGUCAACAAGCCCAUGAACUGAAGCUUAAAACACUGGAAACAACAACUGUAGAGUUUCAAGUAUAUGUACAUUUAUGUAUUCAUGUUCCUUGAUGGGAAUGCUGGCUGGUGUGAAUGUUCAAUCUCCUGAGAAAUGUAAAUUUUUCUCUGACAGAUUUAUUAGCUUGCUGUAUCUGAGCACAUGAGCAAAAACAAUGCCUAAUAAGAAAACUUUCUCUCUCCUUCAAAGUCAAACUUGGGAGAAAUGAAGGGAAAUCGAGUUUUCUUUGCUUGACAGUGUUCAACAUUCUUGUAGUCAGUGUGCUCAUGAAGAUUGCAAACUUUUUUUUUUUUUUAGAGCAGCUAGGACUACAGGCGCGCACCACCACACCCAGCUAAUUUGUGUAUUUUUAGUAGAGAUGGGGUUUUAACUAUGUUGGCCAAGCUUGUCUCAAACUCCUGACCUCAAGUGAUCCAUUCGACAGCUCUUUCUUUUUUUUUUUUUUUUUUGAGACAAAGUCUCGCUCUGUCACCCAGGCUGGAGUGCAGUGGUAUGAUCUCAGCUCACUGCAACCUCCGCCUCCUGGGUUCAAGCAAUUCUCAUGCCUUAGCCUCCCGAAU
rnacentral:lncRNA from 1 species